rnacentral:rRNA from 1 species
CACGGGGGGAGCAAGCGUUGUUCGGAAUCACUGGGCGUAAAGGGCGUGUAGGCGGUCAAGUAAGUGGGAUGUGAAAUCCCCCGGCUUACCCGGGGACCGGCAUCCCAUACUGCUUGGCUUGAGUACGGGAGAGGAUGUGGGAAUUCCUGGCGUAGCGGUGAAAUGCGUAGAUAUCAGGAGGAACACCGGUGGCGAAGGCGCACAUCUGGCCCGAUACUGACGCUAAAGCGCGAAAGCUAGGGGAGCAAACGGG